rnacentral:rRNA from 1 species
ACGAACGCUGGCGGCGUGCUUAACACAUGCAAGUCGAGCGGUAAGGCCCUUUCGGGGGUACACGAGCGGCGAACGGGUGAGUAACACGUGGGUGACCUGCCCUCAGCUCUGGGAUAAGCCUGGGAAACCGGGUCUAAUACUGGAUAUGACUCCAUGACGCAUGUUGUGGGGUGGAAAGCCUUGUGCGGCUGAGGAUGGGCCCGCGGCCUAUCAGCUUGUUGGUGGGGUGAUGGCCUACCAAGGCGACGACGGGUAGCCGGCCUGAGAGGGCGACCGGCCACACUGGGACUGAGACACGGCCCAGACUCCUACGGGAGGCAGCAGUGGGGAAUCUUGCGCAAUGGGCGAAAGCCUGACGCAGCGACGCCGCGUGAGGGAUGACGG